rnacentral:tRNA from 2 species
CGGGAUAGCUCAGCUGGUAGAGCAGAGG